rnacentral:rRNA from 1 species
GAUGAACGCUGGCGGCGUGCCUAAUACAUGCAAGUCGAGCGAAGCGGGGACGGGUGAGUAACACGUGGAUAACCUCCUAUAAGACUGGGAUAACUUCGGGAAACCGGAGCUAAACCGGAUACUUAUAGUUGGCUCCGGUGUUCAUUAGCUCGUUGGUAAGGUAACGGCUUACAAAGGCAACGAAGCUUAGCCGACCUGAGAGGGUGAUAGGCCACACUGGAACUGAGACACGGUCCAGAUUCCUACGGGAGCAGGCAGUAGGGAAUCUUCCGCAAUGGGCGAAAGCCUAACGGAGCAAGGCCGCGUGAGGGAUGAAGGUCUUCGGAUCGUAAACCUCUGUUAUUAGGGAGGCGGUACCUAAUCAGAAAGCCACGGCUAACUACGUGCCAGCAGCCGCGGUAAUAC